rnacentral:rRNA from 1 species
AGUGAACGCUGGCGGUAGGCCUAACACAUGCAAGUCGAACGGCAGCACAGUAAGAGCUUGCUCUUACGGGUGGCGAGUGGCGGACGGGUGCGGAAUACAUCGGAAUCUACUUUUUCGUGGGGGAUAACGUAGGGAAACUUACGCUAAUACCGCAUACGACCUACGGGUGAAAGCAGGGGAUCUUCGGACCUUGCGCGAUUGAAUGAGCCGAUGUCGGAUUAGCUAGUUGGCGGGGUAAAGGCCCACCAAGGCGACGAUCCGUAGCUGGUCUGAGAGGAUGAUCAGCCACACUGGAACUGAGACACGGUCCAGACUCCUACGGGAGGCAGCAGUGGGGAAUAUUGGACAAUGGGCGCAAGCCUGAUCCAGCCAUACCGCGUGGGUGAAGAAGGUCUUCGGGUUGUAAAGCCCUUUUGUUGGGAAAGAAAAGCAGCAGGUUAAUACCCCGCUGUUCUGACGGUACCCAAAGAAUAAGCACCGGCUAACUUCGUG